UACGUAGGUGGCAAGCGUUGUCCGGAGUUAUUGGGCGUAAAGCGCGCGCAGGCGGUGCGGUAAGUCUCUGGUGAAAGCGCUCGGCUUAACUGGGCGAGGGCCGGGGAGACUGCCACGCUGGAGGGGAGCAGAGGCGAGUGGAAUUCCGGGUGUAGUGGUGAAAUGCGUAGAGAUCCGGAGGAACACCAGUGGCGAAGGCGGCUUCCUGGUCUGCGACUGACGCUGUGGCGCGAAAGCUAGGGGAGCAAACGGG
rnacentral:rRNA from 1 species